rnacentral:rRNA from 1 species
GACAGAGGGGGCAAGCGUUGCUCGGAAUCACUGGGCGUAAAGAGCGCGCAGGCGGUCGUUCAAGUCGCGUGUGAAAGCCCCCGGCUCAACUGGGGAGGGUCACGCGAUACUGAUCGACUCGAAGGCAGGAGAGGGUAGUGGAAUUCCCGGUGUAGUGGUGAAAUGCGUAGAUAUCGGGAGGAACACCAGUGGCGAAGGCGACUACCUGGCCUGUUCUUGACGCUGAGGCGCGAAAGCUAGGGGAGCAAACGGG